UACGUAGGGAGCAAGCGUUGUCCGGAAUCAUUGGGCGUAAAGCGCGCGUAGGCGGCCCUGUAAGUCCGUUGUGAAAGUCAAAGGCUCAACCUUUGAAAGCCGAUGGAUACUGCAGGGCUAGAGUCCGGAAGAGGCGAGUGGAAUCCUGGUGUAGCGGUGGAAUGCGCAGAUAUCAGGAGGAACACCAAUAGCGAAGGCAGCUCGCUGGGACGGUACUGACGCUGAUGUGCGAAAGCGUGGGGAGCAAACAGGAU
rnacentral:rRNA from 1 species